ACAGCAGUAGCCGCGGUAAUACGUAGGGUGCGAGCGUUAAUCGGAAUUACUGGGCGUAAAGCGUGCGCAGGCGGUUGUGUAAGACGGGUGUGAAAUCCCCGGGCUUAACCUGGGAACUGCGCUUGUGACUGCACAGCUAGAGUAUGGCAGAGGGGGGUGGAAUUCCACGUGUAGCGGUGAAAUGCGUAGAGAUCUGGAGGAAUACCGGUGGCGAAGGCGGCCCCCUGGACAAAGACUGACGCUCAGGUGCGAAAGCGUGGGGAGCAAACAGGAUUAGAUACCCCUGUAGUCCCUGUCUCUUAUAC
rnacentral:rRNA from 1 species